rnacentral:rRNA from 1 species
UACGUAGGAGACGAGCGUUGUCCGGAAUUACUGGGCGUAAAGCGUGCGUAGGCGGUUUCGUAAGUCAGAUGUGAAAGCCCCGGGCUCAACCUGGGAAUUGCAUUUGAGACUGCGUAGCUAGGGUGCGGAAGAGGGAAGCGGAAUUUCCGGUGUAGCGGUGAAAUGCGUAGAUAUCGGAAGGAACACCAGUGGCGAAAGCGGCUUCCUGGUCCAGCACCGACGUUCAGGCACGAAAGCGUGGGGAGCAAACAGG